rnacentral:tRNA from 1 species
GCCGUCGAUACUGUGCGGGAUGACGGGCGGCUGCUCCGGAUAGUUGCGCACCUCCUUCUCGGAGGUGUUGCGGUUCGGCAGCAUCGGCGGCGCC